rnacentral:SRP_RNA from 1 species
GCUGGGCAUGGUGGUGUGUGCCUUUAAUCCCAGCUACUCAGGAGGCUGAGGUGGGAGAAUCGCUUGAGCCCAGGAGAUGGAGACUGCAGUGAGCCAAGAUCAAGCCACUGCACUCCAGCCUGGGCAACAGAGCCAGACCCUGUCUCAA